rnacentral:lncRNA from 1 species
CCAAGAUGUGGAGGCGGCAUCAGGCUCUCCUUCGCUGCAUCUCACCGCUUAAGCAUCCAGCGGGCUGGCCUGCUAGGGGGAUCGGAUGCUACUACGCCACCGAGCCGGAGGGCAGGAAGCCAAAGACGGCUCCUUUUGCAGUCAAGGGGCAUGGUGGAUAGGUUCCGUUUGCGUGCCAAAGGUGGUGAUGGCGGCAAUGGCUGCAUCAGUCUUCCUUGCUCCAGGUCAGGAUCGCCAAGGCAAGCCUGAUGGUUUAACGACUCCCCUGCUGCACAGCCCAUGGAAUUGUCACAUGGUGCUAGCAGUAAUCUUUUUGUGUAUUUGUUUGUGGUGUAAUAAUGCCUGGUCGUGAUCAACAUUAG